CAACUACUCCCUCUAUCCCAAAUUUCUUGUCUUAGAUUUGUCUAGAUACGGAUGUAUCUAAUACUAAAAUGUGACUUGAUACAUCCGUAUCUAGACAAAUCUAAGACAAGAAUUUUGGGACCGAGGGCGUACUUU
rfam:Triticum urartu cultivar G1812 contig316555, whole genome shotgun sequence.